rnacentral:rRNA from 1 species
GUGCUCGAGACGAGCUCGCGGCCCUAUUCUCACCCUCUGUCUACCGAACCACGUUGCCUCGCCGGGCGACCCCGCCCGGCAAGAGACCGAAACCCGUCGAUCUUUGCCGUCUGAGACACAGAAGAAAAUGGUUAAAAACUUUCAACAACGGAUCUCUUGGUUCUGGCAUCGAUGAAGAACGCAGCGAAAUGCGAUAAGUAAUGUGAAUUGCAGAAUUCAGUGAACCAUCGAAUCUUUGAACGCACAUUGCGCCCUCUGGUAUCCCGGGGGGCAUGCCUGUUCGAGCUUCAUUUACAACACUCACGCGCUCCGCGUGGUAUUGGGCCCGCCCCGUGGGGCUAGCCCCAAAGCUAGUGGCCUGUACACCGCGCGAACCCCGAGCGAAGUAACGUUCGCGCCGCUUGUGGGAGAGGCGGGAGUCGGCCAGCAACGCCCGUCAUCAGAUUGAACUCGGAUCAGGUAGGAAUACCCGCUGAACUUAAGCAUAUCAAUAAGCGGAGGAA